rnacentral:rRNA from 1 species
CAGAGGGUGCGAGCGUUGUCCGGAAUCACUGGGCGUAAAGGGCGCGUAGGUGGUUUAGUAAGUGUGUGGUGAAAGCCCGGGGCUCAACCCCGGGUCUGCCGCGCAAACUGCUGAACUUGAGCAGUACUAGGGGCAGGUUGAAUUCCGGGUGUAGCGGUGGAAUGCGUAGAGAUCCGGAAGAACACCGGUGGCGAAGGCGGCCUGCUGGGGUAGUGCUGACACUGAGGCGCGACAGCGUGGGGAGCAAACAGGAUUAGAUACCCUGGUAGUCCACGCCGUAAACGAUGGGUACUAGGUGCUUGGGGGAGCGACCCUUUGAGUGCCGGCGCUAACGCAUGAAGUACCCCGCCUGGGGAGUACGGCCGCAAGGCUG